rnacentral:snoRNA from 1 species
CUAAGCCUAUGAUGAACUGCAGACUUAUUUGCCUACAUUGUUUGAGUGAAAUAGUGUGAUAUUAUCUGCAAAGCUCUGCUGCUGCC